rnacentral:rRNA from 1 species
CCUACGGGUGGCUGCAGUGGGGGAUAUUGCACAAUGGGGGGAACCCUGAUGCAGCGACGCCGCGUGGGUGAAGGAGUAUUUCGGUAUGUAAAGCCCUAUCGGCAGGGAAGAAAUUGGACGGUACCUGACUAAGAAGCCCCGGCUAACUACGUGCCAGCAGCCGCGGUAAUACGUAGGGGGCAAGCGUUAUCCGGAUUCACUGGGUGUAAAGGGAGCGUAGACGGCCAUGCAAGCCAGGGGUGAAAGCCCGGGGCCCAACCCCGGGACUGCCCUUGGAACUGCAUGGCGGGAGUGCGGGAGGGGCAGGCGGAAUUCCUGGUGUAGCGGUGAAAUGCGUAGAUAUCAGGAGGAACACCGGCGGCGAAGGCGGCCUGCUGGACCGCGACUGACGUUGAGGCUCGAAAGCGUGGGGAGCGAACAGGAUUAGAUACCCGUGUAGUC